UGGAGGACUGAGAAGGUUGAGCAGCUUGUUCUGUGCUGUUGUAACUGGUAUAACCUCCAAGAUUAGCAAACAAACCACAUAAUUAAUUCAGCCUGUUCUAUGCAGAGCUGAUAUGUGUGUUUGUGUAUCAU
rnacentral:snoRNA from 1 species